rnacentral:rRNA from 1 species
UACGGGGGGGGCAAGCGUUGUUCGGAAUUACUGGGCGUAAAGGGCGCGUAGGCGGCCGAUCAAGUCGGAGGUGAAAUCCCUCGGCUCAACUGAGGAAUUGCCUUCGAUACUGUUCGGCUUGAGUCCUGGAGAGGGUAGCGGAAUUCCCGGUGUAGCGGUGAAAUGCGUAGAGACCGGGAAGAACACCAGUGGCGAAGGCGGCUACCUGGACAGGUACUGACGCUGAAGCGCGAAAGCUAGGGGAGCAAACAGG